rnacentral:tRNA from 1 species
UAUGAUAUAGUGUAAGAUGCACAUGAAAUUUUGAAUUUCAUAGUCUAAGUUUAAUUCUUAGUAUUAUAU